rnacentral:rRNA from 1 species
GAAUUUUGCGCAAUGGGCGAAAGCCUGACGCAGCAACGCCGCGUGAGGGAUGAAGGCCUUCGGGUUGUAAACCUCUUUUCUCAGGGAAGAUGAUGACGGUACCUGAGGAAGAAGCCACGGCUAACUACGUGCCAGCAGCCGCGGUAAUACGUAGGUGGCAAGCGUUGUCCGGAUUUACUGGGCGUAAAGAGCGCGCAGGCGGUCGUUCAAGUCGAGUGUGAAAGCCCCCGGCUCAACUGGGGAGGGUCACUCGAUACUGAUCGACUCGAAGGCAGGAGAGGGAAGUGGAAUUCCCGGUGUAGUGGUGAAAUGCGUAGAUAUCGGGAGGAACACCAGUGGCGAAGGCGACUUCCUGGCCUGUUCUUGACGCUGAGGCGCGAAAGCUAGGGUAGCGAACGG